rnacentral:lncRNA from 1 species
UAUUGAGCUCGAAUACAUACAGCUGCUGUUUGAUCUCAGGACGGAGGCCCCAUUCGAACUUUCUUACCUUUCUGCCUUUAUCCAUCAUGCUCUUAGGGGAAUACUGGCCCAACUUUAGGAACUUUCGAGUAUAUUCUGAUACAAUCAUGUCACCCUAGACCAGGUGUGCAAACUCUAUUUCUUUCAGAUGUCGGAGAUGCUCUGGGAGGUACUUUGCAUUGAAGGCUAUCAAGAAUUUUUUUCAAGUGACUGGAACGGGCAGGGUGGCCUGCUUGAGUUGCCACCAGCGACUUGCCUCUCCCACCAGCAUGUAGGUGGCAAGUAUGACCAUCUGUUCGAAAAUCACCCUCUCGCUGCAGGGGUGGCUCAACCUGUGGUAGCGGGGAAUGGUCAGGUAGCUCUCUUCUUUCCUCCUUAGCCUACUGGGCAGCGAUAAGUCUCUCCAGCAUUUCAAAUAAUCGGUCAACAUCCUCUUGAAGCGAACUCUCCCAGACUGU